GGUUUCAUACUGAUCGUUAAGGGAACAAAAUAUAUUCAUCGAUGUAUUUUCUAGCCUACUGAGAAAGUCCAAAUUUUUUUCACAUGAAAGGGUCGAUUUUGCUUUUCUUCAAGUCAAAAUUGGUGGUUACAAAGUACAAUUGAUGGGUCUUGCGAGAUGAAUAGAAGUAGCUAAUGAAGCAAAGCAUAAGAAAAAGAUAAACAGGUUCCAUGGAAUCUAUGGGUUUCUUAUUUUGGAGAUUGUUGUUCUUCGUUUUUGUUGGGUUAAUUGAAUUAUAUCUUUAAUUUUUGUUUUUGUUCUUGUUUUGCAGGUUCGAUUUUCCUGCUAUU
rnacentral:lncRNA from 1 species